AUUGAACGCUGGCGGAAGGCUUUACACAUGCAAGUCGAACGGUAGAGGGGGCAACCCCUCGAGAGUGGCGAACGGGUGAGUAAUAUAUCGGAACGUGCCCAGUCGUGGGGGAUAACGUAGCGAAAGUUACGCUAAUACCGCAUACGAUCUAAGGAUGAAAGCGGGGGAUCGCAAGACCUCGCGCGAUUGGAGCGGCCGAUAUCAGAUUAGGUAGUUGGUGGGGUAAAGGCCCACCAAGCCAACGAUCUGUAGCUGGUCUGAGAGGACGACCAGCCACGCUGGAACUGAGACACGGUCCAGACGCCUACGGGAGGCAGCAGUGGGGAAUUUUGGACAAUGGGCGAAAGCCUGAUCCAGCCAUUCCGCGUGCAGGAUGAAGGCCCUCGGGUUGUAAACUGCUUUUGUACAGAACGAAAAGGUUUCUACUAAUACUAGGAGCUCAUGACGGCACUGUAAGAAUAAGCACCGGCUAACUACGUGCCAGCCGCCGCCGUAA
rnacentral:rRNA from 1 species